AGCGAACGCUGGCGGCAGGCUUAACACAUGCAAGUCGAGCGGGCGUAGCAAUACGUCAGCGGCAGACGGGUGAGUAACGCGUGGGAACGUACCUUUUGGUUCGGAGCAACACAGGGAAACGUUGUGCUAAUACCGGAUAAGCCCUUACGGGGAAAGGAUUUAUCGCCGAAAGAUCGGCCCGCGUCUGAUUAGCUAGUUGGUGUGGUAACGGCGCACCAAGGCGACGAUCAGUAGCUGGCUGAGAGGAUGAUCAGCCACCAUUGGGACUGAGACACGGCCCAAACUACCUACGGGAGGGCAGCAGUGGGGAAUAUUGGACAAUGGGCGCAAGCCUGAUCCAGCCAUGCCGCGUGAGUGAU
rnacentral:rRNA from 1 species